AUUGAACGCUGGCGGCAUGCUUUACACAUGCAAGUCGAACGGCAGCGCGGGCUUCGGCCUGGCGGCGAGUGGCGAACGGGUAAGUAAUACAUCGGAACGUGCCCAGUAGUGGGGGAUAGCUCGGCGAAAGCCGGAUUAAUACCGCAUACGACCUGAGGGUGAAAGCGGGGGAUCUUCGGACCUCGCGCUAUUGGAGCGGCCGAUGGCAGAUUAGCUAGUUGGUGGGGUAAAGGCCUACCAAGGCGACGAUCUGUAGCUGGUCUGAGAGGACGACCAGCCACACUGGGACUGAGACACGGCCCAGAAUCCUACGGGAGGCAGCAGUGGGGAAUUUUGGACAAUGGGCGAAAGCCUGAUCCAGCAAUGCCGCGUGUGUGAUGAAGGCCUUCUGGUUGUAGAGCACUUUUGGCGGGAACGAAAAGGACUGUGCCAAUACCACGGUUCGAUGACGGUACCCGCAGAAUAAGCACCGGCUAACUACGUG
rnacentral:rRNA from 1 species